rnacentral:rRNA from 1 species
UACGUAGGGGCGAGCGUUGUCCGGAAUGACUGGGCGUAAAGGGCGUGUAGGCGGCCGAUUAAGUCCGGAGUGAAAGUCCUGCUUUCAAGGUGGUAAUUGCUUUGGAAACUGGUAGGCUUGAGUGCGGAAGAGGUAAGUGGAAUUCCCAGUGUAGCGGUGAAAUGCGUAGAGAUUGGGAGGAACACCAGUGGCGAAGGCGACUUACUGGGCCGUAACUGACGCUGAGGCGCGAAAGCGUGGGGAGUAAACAGGAUUAGAUACCCUGGUAGUCCCUGAGCGGGCU